rnacentral:rRNA from 1 species
UACGAAGGGUGCAAGCGUUACUCGGAAUUACUGGGCGUAAAGCGUGCGUAGGUGGUUUGUUAAGUCUGUUGUGAAAGCCCCGGGCUCAACCUGGGAAUGGCAAUGGAUACUGGCAGGCUAGAGUGCGGUAGAGGGUAGUGGAAUUCCCGGUGUAGCAGUGAAAUGCGUAGAGAUCGGGAGGAACACCAGUGGCGAAGGCGGCUACCUGGACCAGCACUGACACUGAGGCACGAAAGCGUGGGGAGCAAACAGG